AUUCACUUACCUGUAACCCAGCUCAUUACAUACCUGCAACCUGGGCAUUUAUUCACUUACCUGUAACCCAGCUCAUUACAUACCUGCAACCUGGGCAUUUAUUCACUUACCUGUAAACCAGCUCAUUACAUACCUGCAACCUGGGCAUUUAUUCACUUACAUGUAACCCAGCUCAUUACAUACCUGCAACCUAGGCAUUUAUUCACUUACCUGUAUCAUAGGUUUUUAUUUACCUGCAACUCGAGCAUUUA